rnacentral:lncRNA from 1 species
CGAAACCCAAGGAAUGCUUUAAGUCAGCUGCAGAGUGGAUGUCACCCGCAGAAGCGGACGGACCCUUCAUUCUUACACCUCCGUCACAAGUAGAGCUGCCAUGGAAGUUCUGAUCCCCAGUUGCAGCACAUUUUCAGAAAUUUGCCUUGAACACUUUCUUGCUGACAGAUCUUCAGUGACAUCCAGGAGGACAGGGAGGGCAGGUCUUGCUAGCUGUCAGGAUUCUUCUAGGCUGAGAGCUGCCCCUAAAAGGAAACAACCGGGCUGUGCGCUGCUGCAGGAUCUCGACGUUGACUCAUCGGAUGCAUUUCCAACUCCAGCGGCUCAAGACAGGUCCCUGCCACACCAGAGGCUCAGCAGAGCCUGCAUUCUGCAGAUGGGUGAAUCUGCUGCCUUCCGGCCGUUCCUGUGCCCUGGCUCAGAUGCAGCUCUGGCCUUUGCCACUCUUCCUGGACACAUGACUUCUGUGCCUCAGUUUCCUGGCCUGUGCUGGUGUGAGUGAGAAGAGCUCAAGUGAGGUUCUGCUGAUGUUCGCAGACUGGGAGAGGCCGAGGUAGCUUGGAAAGGGAGCCCAGCUGGCCUCGUCCACCAGAGCCUGCAGGCUGGCCUGUGUCUGCGUCCACUGCGACAGCACGUGUGGAUGGGAACAGCCAGCACUGCAACAUGGAGCGAAGCACAGAUGUGCCCCUCAUGUCCCUGUCACCAACUCUUACGGAAGUGACUUAAAUUUUUUUCUUUU